rnacentral:ncRNA from 1 species
AGGCGGUAUCCAUGUGGAACUGCACUAAUCUUGUCUAGUUUUGACCACAAACCUUAUAUCUGCCUAGAUCCAAAAUUAGGACCGGGACAGAGGG